rnacentral:tRNA from 1 species
GCAUUGGUGGUUCAGUGGUAGAAUUCUCGCCUCCCACGAGGGAAACCCGGGUUCGAUUCCAGGCCCAUGCA